CCUACGGGUGGCAGCAGUGGGGAAUAUUGCACAAUGGGGGGAACCCUGAUGCAGCGACGCCGCGUGAGUGAAGAAGUAUUUCGGUAUGUAAAGCUCUAUCAGCAGGAACGAGACAAGACGGUACCUGACUAAGAAGCCCCGGCUAACUACGUGCCAGCAGCCGCGGUAAUACGUAGGGGGCAAGCGUUAUCCGGAAUCACUGGGUGGAAAGGGAGCGUAGACGGCUGAGCAAGCCUGAAGUGAAAGGCGGGGGCCCAACCCCCGGACUGCUUUGGGAACUGUACGGCUGGAGUGCAGGAGAGGUAAGUGGAAUUCCUAGUGUAGCGGUGAAAUGCGUAGAUAUUAGGAGGAACACCAGUGGCGAAGGCGGCUUACUGGACUGUAACUGACGUUGAGGCUCGAAAGCGUGGGGAGCAAACAGGAUUAGAUACCCCUGUAGUC
rnacentral:rRNA from 1 species